rnacentral:tRNA from 1 species
GCCCGAGUGGCGGAAUUGGCAGACGCACUAGGUUUAGGACCUAGCAGGGGAAACCCUAUGAGAGUUCGAGUCUCUCCUCGGGCACCA